GGUGGCUAGCUUCUUUGGCAAAUGGAUGACACAGUGAAUUGCCUGAAUCUAUUAUGUGUCUGUGAACACUGAAUCCCUAGAUUGCAACACCAGCCCAAUUCUUCACUCUGCUGGAAGUCAUCUUAAGAGGUGGAUAGAGCUUAAGAUUUUAGGAAGAAAGCUGGAGUUACACUCUACCAAUAUUAAUUUCAUGCAUUCAUGCCUGCAUUCUUGAUUCUGUAAUUGGGCUGUGCUUCCAUCUCCACCCAUAUCCUGCCUUGAUGCAUAUCCACGUGCAGAUGACAGCAGCAGGGACAGGUAAACCAGUCAGCUUGCAGGCUGAGUCACCCCAGGAAGGCAGACUGUCAUCUGGCAACUAGGAUGGAGAAGAAGGAAGUGUGCCAACCAAACAGGACUGAGCAAUGCAUCGCACCCCGCAUGCCAAAACAGAGGUUGCACAAUGUUGGCUAUGACAGAGAAAUGUGGAGAAGAACAUAAGAAUGCAUUUCCAAAAUGGCCUUCAUAGUAGGAAUUAAGAAAAACCAAAACUCAGCGUAUUUCUUUUCAUGGACCACUUUAAUACCGAAGAUGAAUACAGCAAUCAAGAAAUGGCUAGAGCAAUGGUUGCUUGACGUGGGCCUCAGGGAUGCCUUGUGGAACUUCAGCACUCAGCUCUUACUCCAUCAUCACAGCAUUGCAGAGAGGGGUGGAUAGCUGCAUCUGGGAGUCCAUCUAAAUCUCACGCAGAGAUGGAAAGAGUCUGUGACCAGAGAGAAGAGAGUCUGUGACGAGACUGCACAGCCUGAGAUUAAAUGUAAGGGCAGCAGGCACAAUGUCCAGAACAGAUAAAUCAGGCAGAUGAACAACUGCAGUAUCAGCACAGAUUUCUGCUAAUUGAGUUAAUGGAGUGCCACUACCAGUCACGGGUUGUCAUCCUCUGAGUAAAGCACUCCCAGAAGAGGAUUGCUGAUGGGCACUGGUGAGAAACAUGAACUGAGGAUUUGCUUGUUGGCUGGGAUGGCAAGUAAUUCGAUAGAUGUAUAUUCCAGAUGUAAGGUAACCCACUGUGUCUCCUCCAGCCUCUUACCAUCCUUGUCCCUUUUCUUUCUCCACUUCAUUCCAGACCCCAUCUUCUCCUACAGGAAGUCACAGUGGAUCCCAGCUCCUGAUCUCCCAAUCUGAUUAGCUCUUUGCUCACUCCCCAGUAUGACAUUCUUUGCUUCUAAUCUACUUGGCUGUACCACCCUAACUCCCCAGUUCCUUCUUAUGAUGCCAUUUCUCAUCUAGAGUAAGUUUGGUAUCCAGUAUCUCUGUCUGAGAAGUUCUUCACAGUGCAUUUUAGCAGCUCUGUCCUCUGUACUCUUGAUUUGGACAUCUGUGUUGCUGGGACCUGAGGAAGGGAGACCCCUCCUUUUCUUUUGUUGACUAGACCUCUUACAGCUCAUGUCCAUCCACAGCAAAUGAAACCUUUUAGGAAAGUAUUCUGUUGAAAUCAAAGUCAUCUUUAUUAAAUAUGCACAGUGACUUUUUAAAUACCUGUCACUGACACAAAAUCUGUCUUCUAUCAGCUUUUAAGUCCUUACACCAAACUUGCAAGAUGUAGGCUUUGUCACAGAAAACACCAGAAUUUUUAACCACAGCACAUUUUCCCCUACAGCCUGUCAGACAUGUCUGAAUUGUUUUGCACUAGUUCCCCUUGAGAAUAUGUGUCAAGUAAAAAGUCCUGAAUGAUACAAUUUCAUAUUGUUUAGACAGGACAGUGGUAUUAAUGCAUUUAAUCUUAUAAAAAGCAUUCUAAUAUCUUUAGUGACCACAAUACAGACUUUUAUUCCUUAGGGAAGAUAAGGAAUGUCCUUGCAAACAAGAAAAAUUAGAUCCUGUUGUGCCAAGGCCUAUGUUCUAAGUAGUUCAAGGUGACCAGUGUACAGCUCAGACUGUUACAUAAAACAAUUUGCGAAGACCAGUGAGAAUUAAACACAAAAUGACAGCUUCUUUAAGAAAACAAGACCCAAUGAAAAGCCCCAAGGACUAUGCUGGAAUCAUGUCCAGAAAAGAUAAAAAAAAGUGAGACUAGACUCAGCAGUGCUCUGGCAGAGCAGUUGAGAGAAGACUCUUCAGUCAGGUGCAAGAAGUAUGACACUGAUAAUGUGGGUGAUUUUGAUGAGAUUUAUUGCUAAUACAGUACCUAAGUAUUGCCAAUGCAGUGUAUUAUACCAGCAGGUCUAAAGGGCUGUAACAUAAGCAGGUACAGCUGGA